rnacentral:rRNA from 1 species
GGGUGAGUAACACGUGAGCAACCUGCCCCUGACUCUGGGAUAAGCGCUGGAAACGGCGUCUAAUACUGGAUACGAGUAGCGACCGCAUGGUCAGUUACUGGAAAGAUUUAUUGGUUGGGGAUGGGCUCGCGGCCUAUCAGCUUGUUGGUGAGGUAAUGGCUCACCAAGGCGUCGACGGGUAGCCGGCCUGAGAGGGUGACCGGCCACACUGGGACUGAGACACGGCCCAGACUCCUACGGGAGGCAGCAGUGGGGAAUAUUGCACAAUGGGCGCAAGCCUGAUGCAGCAACGCCGCGUGAGGGAUGACGGCCUUCGGGUUGUAAACCUCUUUUAGCAGGGAAGAAGCGAAAGUGACGGUACCUGCAGAAAAAGCGCCGGCUAACUACGUGCCAGCAGCCGCGGUAAUACGUAGGGCGCAAGCGUUAUCCGGAAUUAUUGGGCGUAAAGAGCUCGUAGGCGGUUUGUCGCGUCUGCUGUGAAAUCCGGAGGCUCAACCUCCGGCCUGCAGUGGGUACGGGCAGACUAGAGUGCGGUAGGGGAGAUUGGAAUUCCUGGUGUAGCGGUGGAAUGCGCA